UGGCGGACGGGUGAGUAACGCGUGGAAAACCUGCCGUAUACUGGGGGAUAACACUUAGAAAUAGGUGCUAAUACCGCAUAAGCGCACAGCUUCGCAUGAAGCGGUGUGAAAAACUCUGGUGGUAUACGAUGGUUCCGCGUCUGAUUAGCUAGUUGGUGGGGUAAUGGCCUACCGAGGCAACGAUCAGUAGCCGGCCUGAGAGGGUGAACGGCCACAUUGGGACUGAGACACGGCCCAAACUCCUACGGAAGGCAGCAG
rnacentral:rRNA from 1 species